rnacentral:rRNA from 1 species
GACGAACGCUGGCGGCGUGCUUAACACAUGCAAGUCGAGCGGAAAGGCCCUGCUUUUGUGGGGUGCUCGAGUGGCGAACGGGUGAGUAACACGUGAGUAACCUGCCCUUGACUUUGGGAUAACUUCAGGAAACUGGGGCUAAUACCGGAUAGGAGCUCCUGCUGCAUGGUGGGGGUUGGAAAGUUUCGGCGGUUGGGGAUGGACUCGCGGCUUAUCAGCUUGUUGGUGGGGUAGUGGCUUACCAAGGCUUUGACGGGUAGCCGGCCUGAGAGGGUGACCGGCCACAUUGGGACUGAGAUACGGCCCAGACUCCUACGGGAGGCAGCAGUGGGGAAUAGUGCACAAUGGGCGGAAGCCUGAUGCAGCAACGCCGCGUGCGGGAUGACGGCCUUCGGGUUGUAAACCGCUUUCGCCUGUGACGAAGCGUGAGUGACGGUAAUGGGUAAAGAAGCACCGGCUAACUACGUG